UACCUAACCUUAGCAGUCGCGCGCUCCCUGGCUUCAAUGUACCUGACCGUCGUUUCCUUCCCCCAACAGCCGCCUUCUCGUCUUCAUCCGAGAAGUUGCUGCCCAGGUCGGCCGGGGUCGGCCGACGCCUGGUGGUGCGGGCAGACAUCAAGGUCAUAUCGACGGGCGAGGCCUGCCGCCGCGGGCUCGCUGCCGGCAUCGAUCUGUUUGGAAGGCGGCUCCGUGGGGUAUCCGCCCACCUCCGAGCCCAGUUUCCACGAGGAAACCCGCCCGAUCUCCAGACGUCGGGCGACUAUCCCGACUUGUCUUCUCCUACUCGUGUGGUCAGCGAUGCUAGUGUACCCAUCAUCGCCAUUCCUCCAUUUGUGAUCCUGUCCAGUGGCAACAGCGGUGGGAGCAGGGAUGGAGGUAGAGGCGGCUUUGGGCGGGCGUAGCCUGACCGACGCCGACGACAUGGUGGGAGUUUGUCGUACAGGCCACCGAGCAUCUUGCCCCAACCUAGGGUUUGCCUACUUGAGUGAGGAGAGAUGCGGUUUGUAGAAGAAGACCGGGGCCCUAUUUGAUUCACACAGCUCGCCUGCCAGGGGCCAUGCCCCCAUCUCCACCUUCGAGCGCUUCGCCCAGGUUUGGAAGUUCUUUGUUACCUUUGGUGAUGUUCUUGGGCUUCCAUCAUUCACAUUGGAUGAGUUCGUGCAGGCUCUUCAUGAUUAUACAGACAAUUGAAAAAGAGAAUUAAUCUUUUUUAUGGGCGAAGUGUUCAAGAUGGCUUUGGUGAAGGAAAUGACUUGUUAGCAUCAAGUAAGUGGCGACAUCACAACCCCUACAAGCUUGUGCCUUAAAACAAGAAGAUACAAGAAGUUGGAGUGCUUUUGUGAAGGCUUUUGAGAAUCACUUGAAGCGUUAGGACUUCUGUGAAUGAUUUUGUAAAGUGUUUGCAAAUUUGUCCAAAACAUAAUAACAUGUGUAGGUUUUGUGAAUGAUUUUGUUGUGGUGCUUGUUGAUGGUUUAUUUGAUGUGGAUCUAUCAUUGUGCAAUACUAA